rnacentral:rRNA from 1 species
GCACAAGCGGUGGAGCAUGUGGUUUAAUUCGAUGCAACGCGAAGAACCUUACCUGGUCUUGACAUAUCUAGAAUCCUGCAGAGAUGCGGGAGUGCCUUCGGGAAUUAGAAUACAGGUGCUGCAUGGCUGUCGUCAGCUCGUGUCGUGAGAUGUUGGGUUAAGUCCCGCAACGAGCGCAACCCUUGUCCUUAGUUACCAGCGGGUUAAGCCGGGAACUCUAAGGAUACUGCCAGUGACAAACUGGAGGAAGGCGGGGACGACGUCAAGUCAUCAUGGCCCUUACGACCAGGGCUACACACGUGCUACAAUGGUAGGUACAGAGGGCAGCUACACAGCGAUGUGAUGCGAAUCUCAAAAAGCCUAUCGU